AACAAACGCUGGCGGCGUGCCUAAUACAUGCAAGUCGAACGGGGAAAGCUUUCGGGUGAGUACUAGUGGCGCACGGGUGAGGAACGCGUGGAUAAUCUGCCUUAGAGUGGGGGAUAACUAGUCGAAAGAUUAGCUAAUACCGCAUAAGACCACGAGAGCUGCGGCUUUUGAGGUCAAAGGUUUUUCGCUCUAAGAUGAGUCCGCGUAAGAUUAGCUAGUUGGUGAGGUAACGGCUCACCAAGGCGACGAGCUUUAACUGGUCUGAGAGGAUGAUCAGUCACACUGGAACUGAGACACGGUCGAGACGCCUACGGGAGGCAGCAGUAGGGAAUAUUGCACAAUGGAGGAAACUCUGAUGCAGCGACGCCGCGUGAGUGAUGAAGGCCUUCGGGUCGUAAAGCUCUGUCGCAGGGGAAGAACACAAUGAAGGUACCCUGUAAGAAAGGAUCGGCUAACUUCGUG
rnacentral:rRNA from 1 species